UGGCGAGCAACUGGCAUUUGAUAAGGUGAGAGAUCAUGUCAGUUAUUGUGAAGAGGUUGUGCGUUCAAAAAUUCCGUCGUGCGGCUAUUGAUUUGGAAAUUCUGAGGAUGUGGAGAGGAAGCAACAACGAUGGCAAGAAUAAUUUCUAGGAUUAAUAGGACGAUGGAUCCCGCCAUCGAGUAUGAUUCAGUAUGAUGUGAAGGCUUACAUUUCACUCGGGAGAGGCUCUGAAGGAGAUAAUGGCAGGGAUCCAUGAGGGGAGAUCAAUGCCAUGUUUGAGCUGCCUAAUAUGUGCAACAGAUGCAAAACAUGUCUUGAUUUGCCACCAUGUUGCAAUUACAAGAGUAGUAACUGAUUUAGUACUAUGUUAAUGCCACAAUUCCACGUUUUGAACAGGACAAGGUGACACUGAACAGUACACACUCAAAUGUAGAUUAACUUCGGCCAUCUCAUGCAGUCAUGCUUUGUAUACACAC